GUGAGGAAUAUUGGUCAAUGGGCGAGAGCCUGAACCAGCCAAGUCGCGUGAAGGAAGACUGCCCUAUGGGUUGUAAACUUCUUUUGUACAGGGGUAAAGGACAUCACGAGUGGUGUUUUGCAAGUACUGUACGAAUAAGCAUCGGCUAACUCCGUGCCAGCAGCCGCGGUAAUACGGAGGAUGCAAGCGUUAUCCGGAUUUAUUGGGUUUAAAGGGUGCGUAGGCGGUAUUACAAGUCAGGGGUGAAAUCUUGGUGCUUAACAUUAAAAUUGCCUUUGAAACUGUGGUACUUGAGUGUAAGAGAGGUAGGCGGAAUGUGUUGUGUAGCGGUGAAAUGCUUAGAUAUAACACAGAACCCCGAUUGCGAAGGCAGCUUACUAUAAUACAACUGACGCUGAUGCACGAAAGCGUGGGGAUCAAACAGGAUUAGAUACCCUUGUAGUCC
rnacentral:rRNA from 1 species